rnacentral:rRNA from 1 species
AGCAGCCGCGGUAAUUCCAGCUCCAAUAGCGUAUAUUAAAGUUGUUGCAGUUAAAAAGCUCGUAGUUGAAUUUCGGGGUCAGUAGGUUGGUCGUGCCACCGGUACGUACUGGUCUCACUGAUUCCUCCUUCCUGAAGAACCGUAAUGCCAUUAAUUUGGUGUUGCGGGGAAACAGGACUGUUACUUUGAAAAAAUUAGAGUGUUUAAAGCAGGCUAACGCUUGAAUACAUUAGCAUGGAAUAAUGAAAUAGGACGAUCGAUCCUAUUUUGUUGGUUUCUAGGAUUGACGUAAUGAUUAAUAGGGAUAGUUGGGGGCAUUAGUAUUCAAUUGUCAGAGGUGAAAUUCUUGGAUUUAUUGAAGGCUAACUACUGCGAAAGCAUUUGCCAAGGAUGUUUUCAUUAAUCAAGAACGAAAGUUAGGGGAUCGAAGACGAUCAGAUACCGUCGUAGUCUUAACCAUAAACUAUGCCGACUAGGGAUCGGAUGAUGUAAUUUAUAAUGACUCAUUCGGCGCCUUACG